AAAUAUGAAGCGAUUUAUUGCAAUUAGUUUCGACCUAGUUUUAGAUGAACUUUACAUCCUUAUUUU
rnacentral:tRNA from 1 species